rnacentral:rRNA from 1 species
GAUGAACGCUGGCGGCGUGCCUAAUACAUGCAAGUCGAGCGAACGGACGAGAAGCUUGCUUCUCUGAUGUUAGCGGCGGACGGGUGAGUAACACGUGGAUAACCUACCUAUAAGACUGGGAUAACUUCGGGAAACCGUAGCUAAUACCGGAUAAUAUUUUGAACCGCAUGGUUCAAAAGUGAAAGACGGUCUUGCUGUCACUUAUAGAUGGAUCCGCGCUGCAUUAGCUAGUUGGUAAGGUAACGGCUUACCAAGGCAACGAUGCAUAGCCGACCUGAGAGGCUGAUCGGCCACACUGGAACUGAGACACGGUCCAGACUCCUACGGGAGGCAGCAGUAGGGAAUCUUCCGCAAUGGGCGAAAGCCUGACGGAGCAACGCCGCGUGAGUGAUGAAGGUCUUCGGAUCGUAAAACUCUGUUAUUAGGGAAGAACAUAUGUGUAAGUAACUGUGCACAUCUUGACGGUACCUAAUCAGAAAGCCACGGCUAACUACGUG